AGCGAACGCUGGCGGCAGGCUUAACACAUGCAAGUCGAACGGGCGUAGCAAUACGUCAGUGGCAGACGGGUGAGUAACGCGUGGGAACGUACCUUUUGGUUCGGAACAACCCACGGGAAACGUUAGGGCGUAAUACCGGAUAAGCCCUUACGGGGAAAGGAUUUAUCGCCGAAAGAUCGGCCCGCGUCUGAUUAGCUAGUUGGUGUGGUAACGGCGCACCAAGGCGACGAUCAGUAGCUGGUCUGAGAGGAUGAUCAGCCACAUUGGGAC
rnacentral:rRNA from 1 species